CUGGCUGUGGCUGCACCCUCGAGGGUUGUUAUAGUAACCACACAGACGCACGCAGCUUCGCGUGUGUGCCGAGGAAUUCGCGGGCAGUACUGGACUCCCUGCUUCAUUCGGAGUAACAAAAACACAUACAGAAUUUAAUCUACGGCCCCACCUGCAAUUUCUGCAAGAUCGGCUUGACUUCUUCCUCUUCAUCAGCCAUCAUCUCCCGGCCACUCCACCCCCAACUUUAUAACCACAAAGACGCAUGCCCUCUCUCACCGCGGAACCACAGCGACAUCUGGCGCUCUGGAGGCUUUUCUGCCCCCGAAGGGCUUUGCUUCAAACCAACUUAACCAUUUCCACAGAGAUGCUCUACAAUCACUCACAACAUCCAGAAGGGAUAUAUAAGAAAGGAUGACUGUCUCUGCAGAGGGAAACACAGAAACUGGGGAACUGUGGGUGAGCGAAGAAAAUUUUCACUGCCUGCCCUUUUGAAUUUUCUUGCCAUCUAUAUGUAUCACCUAUUCAAAUAUAAACAUAAUUUUUAAAUAAAAAAUUAUUUGCUUCUACAUAGUCUCUGGAAAGAGACACAAGACACUGGCAAGACUGGCAGACUAUUGCUUACAAAGAGCAGAAGUGAGUGGCUGGAGCAAAAAUGAGUGACUAGGGAACUGGGGUAGACUUUUCACUCUAUGCCUUUUUUGUAACUUUCAAGUUUGUACCUUGUGAAUAAAUUAAACUUGUGAAUAAAUCUUUUAAAGUGUCAUGUAA
rnacentral:antisense_RNA from 1 species